rnacentral:rRNA from 1 species
UUUUGGAAANCCCUUUUGGGNAAAAAACCCAAAACGUCUUUGGCAAAUGCUUUCGCAGUAGUUAGUCUUCAGUAAAUCUAAGAAUUUCACCUCUGACAACUGAAUACUGAUGCCCCCGACCGUCCCUAUUAAUCAUUACGAUGGUCCUAGAAACCAACAAAAUAGAACCAUAACGUCCUAUUCUAUUAUUCCAUGCUAAUAUAUUCGAGCAAAGGCCUGCUUUGAACACUCUAAUUUUUUCAAAGUAAAAGUCCUGGUUCGCCAAACACCACAAGGGCGAAUGGUUAGCCAGAAGGAAAGGCUCGGUUGGGUCCAGUACUCGCCAAAAAGGCGGACCGGCCAACCAAGCCCAAAGUUCAACUACGAGCUUUUUAACUGCAACAACUUUAAUAUACGCUAUUGGAGCUGGAAUUACCGCGGNUGCUGGCACCAGACUUGCCCUCCAAUUGUUCCUCGUUAAGGUAUUUACAUUGUACUCAUUCCAAUUACAAGACCCGAAAGGGCCCUGUAUCGUUAUGUAUUGUCACUACCUCCCCGUGUCGGGAUUGGGUAAUUUGCGCGCCUGCUGCCUUCCUUGGAUGUGGUAAGCCGUUUCUCAGGCUCCCUCUCCGGAAUCGAACCCUUAUUCCCCGUUACCCGUUGAAACCAUGGNAGGCCACUAUCCUACCAAUGGG